AUUCCCGUACCGGCGAAGCACCGCCCAUGCUGACGCGCGGGUGCUAACCCACGCCCAGCCACCAUGUAGGCCGCGCCUACUCCUUUCGGGGGGUGGUGUGGUUGUGGUGGUGGGGUCUGGGGAUCCUCCGUGCAGGUAGGCAAGCGUGUUAACAGGGGUGACGCACAGUGGUAGCCCGGCGGACCUGAUGGCUUGGUCCGUUCAAGCGCGCAGCCCGUCUCCCAGGUAAAUCCGGGGGACUGUCUUUGAUGACGGGGGUGAGGCGUGAUGGUGACCUCACACUGGUGGGGGAUAACAGGGUGAUCCUGGGGUGCCGAGAAAAGCCUCGACGCGAUGGUGCCAGCCGCCCGUACCCUAAACCGACACAGGUGGUCGGGCAGAGUAUGCCUAGGCGCACGAGUGAAUCAUGGUUAAGGAACUCGGCAAAAUGCCCCCGUAACUUCGGGAGAAGGGGGGCCUGAUCCCUGAAGCCCCAUCGCGGGCUAGGGGGGAGGGUCGCAGAGGCCAGGGGGAAGCGACUGUUUACUAAAAACACAGGUCCGUGCGAAGCCGUAAGGCGAUGUAUACGGACUGACGCCUGCCCGGUGCUGGAAGGUUAAGAGGAACCAUCAACCCUCGGGUGAAGUGGUGAAUUUAAGCCCCAGUAAACGGCGGUGGUAACUAUAACCAUCCUAAGGUAGCGAAAUUCCUUGUCGGGUAAGUUCCGACCUGCACGAAUGGCGUAACGACUUCCCCGCUGUCUCAACCAUGAGCUCGGCGAAAUUGCAGUACGAGUAAAGAUGCUCGUUUCGCGCAGAAGGACGGAAAGACCCCGGGACCUUUACUACAGCUUGGUAUUGGCGCCCGCUAUAGCUUGUGCAGGAUAGGUGGGAGACUGUGAAGCCGUUACGCCAGUAGCGGUGGAGUCGUCCUUGAAAUACCACUCUGGUUAUGGCGUGCGCCUGAACCUGGGCCCGUGAUCCGGGUUAGGGACAGUGCCUGGUGGGUAGUUUAACUGGGGCGGUUGCCUCCUAAAGUGUAACGGAGGCGCUCAAAGGUUCCCUCAGCCUGGUCGGCAACCAGGUGUUGAGUGCAAGUGCACAAGGGAGCUUGACUGUGAGACCGACGGGUCGAGCAGGUACGAAAGUAGGAACUAGUGAUCCGGCGAUCCCGUGUGGGUGGGUCGUCGCUCAACGGAUAAAAGGUACCCCGGGGAUAACAGGCUGAUCCUGCCCAAGAGUCCAUAUCGACGGCAUGGUUUGGCACCUCGAUGUCGGCUCGUCGCAUCCUGGGGCUGGAGCAGGUCCCAAGGGUUGGGCUGUUCGCCCAUUAAAGCGGUACGCGAGCUGGGUUUAGAACGUCGUGAGACAGUUCGGUCCCUAUCCUCUGCGCGCGCAGGAGACUUGAGAAGGCCUGUCCCUAGUACGAGAGGACCGGGACGGACGAACCUCUGGUGUGCCAGUUGUCCCGCCCGGGGCACGGCUGGUUGGCUACGUUCGGGAAGGGUAACCGCUGAAAGCAUCUAAGCGGGAAACCAUCUUCAAGAUAAGGUCUCCGCAGGACACCUCGGUGUCCUGGUAGGCCCCCAGCAGACUACUGGGUUGAUAGGCCAGAAGUGGAAGACCGGUAACGGUUGGGAGCUGACUGGUACUAAUCGGCCGACACAAACAACA
rnacentral:rRNA from 1 species